AGAUUAAAAGAGAGAAAGAUUUCUGUGUGUGUUUGUGAUUUUGGCAGAACGCCUGCAGUGUGUGUCAAACCAGAGUACCAGGAUUGCCAGGGCAGAAAGGAGAAAAAGGUUCCCUUGGAGCUCCAGGUAUCCCAGGAAUGGAUGGAGAAAAGGGGGAUCAGGGUCUUCGGGGCCCAGCUGGUAAUCCUGGAAAAGAGGGUCCCAAGGGAGUGAAGGGUGAGAGAGGCUUUCCUGGUCCGAUGGGGGAUAAGGGUGAUGAGGUGAGUUAUCAGAAUUACACGGUGCAAUGCGACAAAUCUAAACUAA
rnacentral:lncRNA from 1 species